rnacentral:rRNA from 1 species
UGAGGAAUAUUGGGCAAUGGACGAGAGUCUGACCCAGCCAUGCCGCGUGCAGGAUGACGGCCCUAUGGGUUGUAAACUGCUUUUAUACAGGAAUAAACCUAUCUACGUGUAGAUAGCUGAAUGUACUGUACGAAUAAGGAUCGGCUAACUCCGUGCCAGCAGCCGCGGUAAUACGGAGGAUCCAAGCGUUAUCCGGAUUCAUUGGGUUUAAAGGGUCCGUAGGCGGAUUUUUAAGUCAGUGGUGAAAGCCCACAGCUCAACUGUGGAAUUGCCAUUGAUACUGGAAGUCUUGAGUUUGGUUGAAGUUGGCGGAAUACGUCAUGUAGCGGUGAAAUGCAUAGAUAUGACGU